rnacentral:rRNA from 1 species
UGAGGAAUAUUGGGCAAUGCCCGCAAGGGUGACCCAGCAACGCCGCGUGAAGGAUGAAUGUCGUAAGAUUGUAAACUCCUGUUAGAGGGGAAGAAUAGUACCGGUUGGACCGGUAUAUGACUGUACCCUCAGAGAAAGCCCCGGCUAACUACGUGCCAGUAGCCGCGGUAAUACGUAGGGGGCAAGCGUUGUCCGGAUUUACUGGGUGUAAAGGGCGCGCAGGCGGGAUAAAAAGUCAGUGGUGAAAUCCUACAGCUUAACUGUAGAACUGCCUUUGAUACUUUUAUUCUUGAGUUCGGGAGAGAGAGACGGAAUUCCAGGUGUAGUGGUGAAAUACGUAGAUAUCUGGAAGAACACCAGUCGCGAAGGCGGUCUCUUGGUCCGACACUGACGCUGAGGCGCGAAAGCGUGGGGAGCAAACA